rnacentral:rRNA from 1 species
CGUAACUAUAACGGUCCUAAGGUAGCGAAAUUCCUUGUCGGGUAAGUUCCGACCUGCACGAAUGGCGUAAUGAUGGCCAGGCUGUCUCCACCCGAGACUCAGUGAAAUUGAACUCGCUGUGAAGAUGCAGUGUACCCGCGGCAAGACGGAAAGACCCCGUGAACCUUUACUAUAGCUUGACACUGAACAUUGAGCCUUGAUGUGUAGGAUAGGUGGGAGGCUUUGAAGUGUGGACGCCAGUCUGCAUGGAGCCGACCUUGAAAUACCACCCUUUAAUGUUUGAUGUUCUAACGUGGACCCGUAAUCCGGGUUGCGGACAGUGUCUGGUGGGUAGUUUGACUGGGGCGGUCUCCUCCUAAAGAGUAACGGAGGAGCACGAAGGUUGGCUAAUCCUGGUCGGACAUCAGGAGGUUAGUGCAAUGGCAUAAGCCAGCUUGACUGCGAGCGUGACGGCGCGAGCAGGUGCGAAAGCAGGUCAUAGUGAUCCGGUGGUUCUGAAUGGAAGGGCCAUCGCUCAACGGAUAAAAGGUACUCCGGGGAUAACAGGCUGAUACCGCCCAAGAGUUCAUAUCGACGGCGGUGUUUGGCACCUCGAUGUCGGCUCAUCACAUCCUGGGGCUGAAGUAGGUCCCAAGGGUAUGGCUGUUCGCCAUUUAAAGUGGUACGCGAGCUGGGUUUAGAACGUCGUGAGACAGUUCGGUCCCUAUCUGCCGUGGGCGCUGGAGAACUGAGGGGGGCUGCUCCUAGUACGAGAGGACCGGAGUGGACGCAUCACUGGUGUUCGGGUUGUCAUGCCAAUGGCACUGCCCGGUAGCUAAAUGCGGAAGAGAUAAGUGCUGAAAGCAUCUAAGCACGAAACUUGCCCCGAGAUGAGUUCUCCCUGACCCUUUAAGGGUCCUGAAGGAACGUUGAAGACGACGACGUUGAUAGGCCGGGUGUGUAAGCGCAGCGAUGCGUUGAGCUAACCGGUACUAAUGAACCGUGAGGCUUAACCUU